rnacentral:rRNA from 1 species
GUGGGGAAUCUUCCGCAAUGGACGAAAGUCUGACGGAGCAACGCCGCGUGAGUGAAGACGGCCUUCGGGUUGUAAAGCUCUGUUAAUCGGGACGAAAGGUCCGCUUGUGAAUAAUGAGUGGAAUUGACGGUACCGGAAUAGAAAGCCACGGCUAACUACGUGCCAGCAGCCGCGGUAAUACGUAGGUGGCAAGCGUUGUCCGGAAUUAUUGGGCGUAAAGCGCGCGCAGGCGGAUCAGCCAGUCUGUCUUAAAAGUUCGGGGCUUAACCCCGUGAGGGGAUGGAAACUACUGAUCUAGAGUAUCGGAGAGGAAAGUGGAAUUCCUAGUGUAGCGGUGAAAUGCGUAGAUAUUAGGAAGAACACCAGUGGCGAAGGCGACUUUCUGGACGAAAACUGACGCUGAGGCGCGAAAGCCAGGGGAGCGAACGGG